CGGGAUGGUGCCCUAGUCAUCGCCACCUGUACUGCCGGAUGAGCUCCAACAGCGGCUUCACGGUCACGUACUCAUCAUCCAUUUACCUUUGUUUUGGUUGUGAGCUUGAUCUUGCAUCUACUGCCCAAUUGAUUUUCAGAUUUACAAGGAGCAGUUCCAUCAUAUCACUGAUGAGGAAUUCAAUUGGGCAUAUGGAAUGUGAAGAUUUUGGAUCAGUAUUGGGGAUAUUGA